AGUGAACGCUGGCGGUAGGCCUAACGCAUGCAAGUCGAACGGCAGCACAGUAAGAGCUUGCUCUUACGGGUGGCGAGUGGCGGACGGGUGAGGAAUACAUCGGAAUCUACUUUUUCGUGGGGGAUAACGUAGGGAAACUUACGCUAAUACCGCAUACGACCUACGGGUGAAAGCAGGGGAUCUUCGGACCUUGCGCGAUUGAAUGAGCCGAUGUCGGAUUAGCUAGUUGGCGGGGUAAAGGCCCACCAAGGCGACGAUCCGUAGCUGGUCCGAGAGGAUGAUCAGCCACACUGGAACUGAGACACGGUCCAGACUCCUACGGGAGGCAGCAGUGGGGAAUAUUGAACAAUGGGCGCAAGCCUGAUCCAGCCAUACCGCGUGGGUGAAGAAGGCCUUCGGGUUGUAAAGCCCUUUUGUUGGGAAAGAAAAGCAGCAGGUUAAUACCCCGCUGUUCUGACGGUACCCAAAGAAUAAGCACCGGCUAACUUCGUG
rnacentral:rRNA from 1 species